rnacentral:rRNA from 1 species
UACGUAGGGUGCAAGCGUUAAUCGGAAUUACUGGGCGUAAAGCGUGCGCAGGCGGUUUUGUAAGUCUGUUGUGAAAUCCCCGGGCUCAACCUGGGAAACUGCAUUUGUGACUGCACGGCUGGAGUGCGGCAGAGGGGGAUGGAAUUCCGCGUGUAGCAGGUGAAAUGCGUAGAUAUGCGGAGGAACACCGAUGGCGAAGGGACAA